CAGGAAAGUAGGUUUUGAGGUGUGCCAAUUCCAAAAAGGGGGGUUCAACCUGGUCAACUGGUUUUGAUCUUUAGAAUUUCGUUUCCACCAGCAGCAACUUUCUAUUCAAUUAAAAUGUAAUUACUUAGGUUUUUAGGAAAAAUGUGUAUUUUGGACUGUUUGUAACCUAUUGGAUUAAAAUCUUCUUAUGUAAUUACCUUUUUAAGCAUUCAAACCUUAUCUCAAUAUUUUAAUUAUGCUAAUCAAUUAAAGCAUUUUGAACUUUGUCCUUCUAUUUCAAUUGGAAACCUACUUGGACCACCAUGAGCAUCCAACCAAAAGUUGCCUCUAGCAUGUUAUUAUUUAACAAAAUACAACCGUGACCAAAAAUUUAAAAUGAAACAUGUCAAUGCAAUUUUAACUCUAUAAACAACCCACUUUCAACUUUGGCACAAAGAAACCAAAUGGGGUGACUUGAUUUAAAACAACAUAAUUUGAACUUUGGCACAAAUAAGCCAAAUAUGGUGACUUGAUCUAAGACAACAUAAUUUCAACUUCAACACAUGAGUCUAAAUAUGGUGCUUUGAUUUAAGACCGACACAUACAUGCCUACAAAAAAUGAAAAUUUAAUUUAGGGACCUAUGAAGAACUUAGAAUUUGGCAUAAAUAUCUGGAAUGUGCAAAUGGACUAAUAAUAAGUGAACAUAAAAAUAAUAACAUGGCUCUUAAUACUUACUAAUAAGAAAGUAGAUUUUGGAUUAGUAAUGUAAAAGAUUCAAACCAUAUUUUAAAUUAUGGACACACUUAUGCAAAUGGGCCUUUAAAACAAAAGAGAUCUCAUGGGUACACCACAAUGGGCUUUGUUAUCCAAAAAUACACAUACCAUCCCAUGCUUCAGUAAAAACCAAUACAACAUAUAUUUUUUAAAAGAUCUUAACAGAUGAAAAAUGUCUUUGAAGACUUGUUGUCACCAAGGGGCUGAGAAACCUCAAGAGGAGGCUUAUGUCUUAAGAUAAGAUACAUGUCUUAUAGCAUUGGGUAGUAAAUGUUGGUUGUAGGUUUUUUACCCGGACAAAAUUGGGGUAUGACAGCUGCCCCUAUUUAAUUACCUCAAACCGGAAAGUAAGAAUGACGGCAGUCUUCGUUCAUUCGCGGUGAGAGAUAAUUAAAUACAAGAAGACCCAAAUUUUGUCUUAGGAAAUGCAAGGAAGAAAAAUGUAUAUAUAAAAAAUAUGGUGAAAAAAUGGCAAAAGACAUUAUCCCACAGUAAAAUGGAACAAUCAAGACUUUCUGUGAGUCAUCAUAACAGUAUCUCAGACAUCUCAGUCGAGACAUGUGGAGUGACAUUCCUAGCUAAACCUCAAGACUUUCCAGGAUAUUAGAGCGGUGUCUCUAAAAGAAACUGAAAUGAGACUCUUCAUAUUGAUGAAGCAGUAUCUCAAACAGUAAGAAUGGGAUUCUCCGUAUCGGGUCGAAACAACAUCUUAUAUGAUAGAAUUAAGAUAUUCCGAACAAGGGAAUGAUACCUUAAUUGAAUCUAAGAUUCUUCGAGGAUAUUAGAGCAGUAUCUCUAAAAAAAUCUGAAAUGAGACUCUUCAUAUUGAUGAAGCAGCAUCUCAAACAGUAAAAGUGAGAUUCUCUGUAUCGGGUCGAAACAACAUCUUAUUUGAUAGAAUUAAGAUAUUCCAGCGAGGGAAAAAUACCUUAAUUGAAUCUAAGACUCUCCGAGGAUAUUAGAGCAGUAUCUCUAAAAAAAAUCUGAAAUGUGACUCUUCAUAUUGAUGAAGCAACAUCUCAAAUUGUAAGAAUGAGAUUCUCCGUAUCGGGUCGAAACAUCAUCUUAUAUGAUAGAAUUAAGAUAUUCCGAACAAGGGAAUGAUAUCUUAAUUGAAUCUAAGACUCUCCGAGGAUACUUAGAGUAGUAUCUCUAAAAAAUCUGAAAUGAGACUCUUCAUAUUGAUGAAGCAGCAUCUCAAACAGUAAGAAUGAGAUUCUCCGUAUCGGGUCGAAACAGCAUUUUAUAUGAUAGAAUUAAGAUAUUCCAGCGAGGGAAAAAAUACCUUAAUUGAAUCUAAGACUCUCCGAGGAUAUUAGAGCAGUAUUUCUAAAAAUCUGAAAUGAGACUCUUCAUAUUGAUGAAGCAGCAUCUCAAACAGUAAAAGUGAGAUUCUCUGUAUCGGGUCAAAACAACAUCUUAUAUGAUAGAAUUAAGAUAUUCCAGCAAGGGAAAAAUACCUUAAUCGAAUCUAAGACUCUUCGAGGAUACUUGAGCAGUAUCUCUAGAAAAUAAAUGAGAUUCUUCAAAUUGAUGAAGCAGUAUCUCAAACAGAUAAAUGAGAUUCUUCAGAUAAAUGAAGCAGUAUCUCGAAUAUUCGUCUGUUGGGGGAAUUUUUAAGAAAAUACUCCUUUUGAGGGAGAUUUACUAGAAAUGCUCUGCAGGGGAAAAGCUCAUAAGAGGCUUUUUAGGGUAACCUCUUCUUGGGGAAGCAAUGCUAGUAAAGAAGAUGUUGGGAAUAUAAUUAUUAAAAAAGUUGAAAAAUGAUUUGCUGAGAAAUAACCCUACGAGGCUAUGUAGGGUAAUAACUUCAUUUGGAAAUGAGGAAUGUCCGAGACAUAUACGAAUGACCUUGGAUCCUGAUAUUUUAUAUUUGAUUUUUGUAUAAUGCCCACUUUAGGUGGGAAUUCCAUGCAUGGGAUGAUGCAUGGGAUGUAUGCAAGUAUGCAAUUUUUCUGGGGAUAUUUGGUUGUGCAUGUAGGAAUGCGAAUGAUUUUUAUUUUGCUGAAAUUCCCAUUUUGUGGGAGUGUUAUGCAUGAGUAUGCUGAUGAUUGAUAUGACUGUGUUUUUUUUGAACUUUUGUUUGGUAGGAAAACCAUAUAUGGAUGAUCCGUGUGAUGCAUGUGGGAAUGCAACUGGGUAAUUGGAUAUGCCCCGGUUAAGACAUUUCGCUUUGAGGUAUGAUGCCAACAAUGUGGAUUUUUUAUCAUUGGGGCAAUCAAUGGAGAUCAAAUUUUAAUGCCCCUGCUAGGUGGGUUGCUCCAUCCAUGAUUUAUCAAUGUUUUUGUCGGAAAUGUGAUGGAGCCUUGCCCCGAUCUGGCUAUACCAUGAGUACAUUUAUGAGAGGUAUGAAUCAGUAGUUGAGAGGAACAUAACCGUCUGCAAUCAGUCCUACACCUUUAUGAAAUACAAGAAUGAAUCUUGGGAACUAAAGGAUUCGUCCGCUUACUGUUUCAAAAGCAAUUUUACCACUUUAUUCAAACAUGCAUUUUAUUUUCUCCAAUAGUUUUUAAAAGUGAUGUUUAUCAAAAAUAAAAGGUGCUAAACAAACAAAAUAAAAUAAAAAAUGAUUUGGGCACACUUUCGUUGAGAAAAAUUCUCUUUUAUUGAUUUGACCCUUAAAUGGGUGAUUGUACAUAAAGACGUCAUUCCUUAAUGAGGUAAUUGCGGUGCAUAGAAACAAAAUGGCAAUGAAAAUUGAGUUCUUAUUGAGUUUCCACACUGCUAUGAUCCUUAUGUCUUUGAUAGCUCGAGCACUUUGCUUUUGAAAAGUGAGGUAGAUCGAUUCUUUGUCUUCAAGGGUAUGUCAGAUGUCUUUAAAUACAACUUUUUGCCUUGGAAUUAAUCCCUAACUUUUGCCUGGACCGCCCUUUCGGGUUUUCGAUCCACCGGGAUACCCAUUUUUGCCUGAGUCGCCCUUUCAGGUUUUCAACUCAGCGAGUCAAAUUCUUUUGUUUUUAUCCCUAAUUUUUGCUUGGAUUUCCCUUUCGGGUUUUCGAUCCACCAGGAUAGCCAUUUUUGCUUAAAUCUCCCUUUCAGGUUUUCGAUUUAGCGUAUUUUAUUAUUCCACUUUUUUAGGAGAAGUACUUUUUAAUAGCAUCAGCGUUGGUGGGAAGCGGCAGCUCAUCACCAUCCAUAGUAGCUAGAAUCAGAGCGCCUCCAGAAAAGGCUCUAACCACCACAAAUGGACCUUCAUAAUUUGGCGCCCAUUUCCCUCUGGAGUCUUUGUGAAUGGGCAAGAUUUUCUUCAGCACUAAAUCUCCCUCUUGAAACACCCUGGGACGAACUUUCUUGUCGAAUGCCUUUUUAAGACGCCUCUGAUAGAGUUGACCAUGACCUAACACUUUCAAGCGUUUCUCCUCAAUAAGGUUGAGCUUGUCAUACCUUGAUUGAACCCAUUCCGCCUCGUGUAGCUUAGCCUCCAUUAGGACUCUCAUUGAGGGGAUCUCUACUUCUAUAGGGAGAACUGCUUCCAUACCGUAUACCAACGAAUAAGGAGUUGCCCCUGUUGAAGUUCGUAUCGACGUGUGAUAGCCAUGCAACGCAAAAGGUAACAUCUCGUGCCAAUCCUUGUACGUGACAACCAUCUUUUGGAUGAUUUUCUUGAUAUUUUUAUUUGCAGCUUCAACGGCCCCAUUCAUCUUGGGUCGAUAGGGUGAUGAGUUGUGAUGCUCGAUUUUGAACGUUGCACAUAACUCAUCCAUGGUUUUGUUGUUGAGAUUUGACCCAUUAUCAGUGAUGAUUUUGUUGGGAAUCCCAUAUCGACAUAUGAUGUUAUUUUUUAAGAAAUGGGCGACUACGUGCUUCGUGACGUUUGCAUAAGACGCGACUUCCACCCAUUUGGUAAAGUAAUCUAUGGCCACCAAGAUAAAUCUGUGUCCAUUUGAUGCUUUGGGUUCUAUCAUUCCAAUCAUGUCGAUGCCCCACCUAGAGAAAGGCCAAGGUGAUGCUAUGACGUUUAACGGAGUAGGUGGUACAUGUAUUUUGUCAGCAUAGAUUUGGCAUUUGUGGCAUGCUCUGGUGUAAUGAUAACAGUCAGCUUCCAUCGUCAACCAGUAGUAACCUGCCCUUAGGAUUUUCUUUGCCAUGGCAUGCCCAUUGGCGUCGUACCGAAAGACCCUUCAUGUAUGUCCCUCAUGAGCUGAUUAGCCUCGUGUUUGUCCACACACCUCAACAAGACCAUGUCGUAGUUUUGUUUGUACAAUACCUCUCCAUUCAAAAGGAACUUUGAUGCCAACCUCCAGAGGGUCCUUUUGUCAAGGCUGGAAGCCUCUGCCGGAUACUACCUCUUGUCCAAAUACUGUUUGAUAUCAAAGAACCAGGGUUUACCAUCUGGCUCUUCUGCUGUAGUCAGGCAAUGAGCAGGUUCAUCGAAACGCCUAAUUUCAAUAUGAGGCUGAUGGUUGGGCCAUAUCAAUUUGUACAUGGAGGCCAUAGUGGCUAAGGCAUCUGCCAUCUGAUUCUCUUCUCGAGGAAUAUGAGAGAAAGUGAUUUCGUCGAACUUUAGGAGUAACUUUAGCACAUAAUCCCGGUAUGGAAUUAGGUUAGCAUGUCUUGUUUCCCAAUCGCCUCUGAUUUGAUGUAUGACUAGAGUGAAGUCCCCGAACACUUCUAGUAUCUUGAUCUUCAACUCAAUAGCUUCUUCCAAUCCUAGUAUGCAAGCUUCAUACUCAGACAUGUUGUUUGUGCAGGUAAAACAUAGCUUUGCAGUGAAUGGUAGAUGGAAAUUCUUUGGAGACAUCAGCACUGCCCCAAUUCCAUGGCCUAUUGCAUUUGAGGCACCAUCAAACGUGAGCAUCCAGCCUGCUCUUGGCUCGAGGCUUUCCUCUAGUUCGAAUCUUCAACACCCUUAACAGCCAUGAUGUUCUCAUCUGGAAAGUCAAAUUUCAAAGAUUGGUAAUCCUCCAGUGGUUGGUGAGCAAGAUGGUCUGCUAGUAUGCUUCCUUUGAUCGCUUUCUGUGCAACAUAUUGGAUAUCAUAUUCUGACAACAACAUCUGCCAUCGAGCAAUCCUACCAGUGAGAGCUGGUUUCUCGAAUAUGUACUUGAUGGGAUCCAUUUUAGAUACCAGCCAAGUUGUGUGAGAUUAGCAUGUACUGCCUGAGACGCUUAGCAGCCCAUGCGAGUGCACAACAAGUCUUCUCGAGUAAUGAAUAUCUGGUCUCACAAUCAUUAAAUUUCUUGCUCAGAUAAUAGAUGGCAUGCUCUUUUCUGCCAGUCUCAUCUUGUUGUCCCAAUACACAACCCAUGGAUUCAUUGAGCACGGUUAGAUACAUGAUGAGAGGUCUCCCUUCGGCAGGGGGCAUUAGAAUCGGUGGCUCUUGCAAGUAUUCUUUGAUUUUAUCGAAGGCUAUUUGAUAGUCCUCAUUCCACUAUACGCCUUGAUUCUUCCUCAGAAGCUUGAAUAUUGGUUUGCAUGUUGCAGUAAGGUGAGAGAUAAACUUGGUGAUGUAAUUUAGUCUCCCCAAGAAACCACGAACCUCCUUCUCAGUCUUUGGUGCAGGCAUGUUCUGAAUGGCUCGAACCUUGUCAGGAUCUACUUCAAUUCCCUUUUAGCUUACAAUAAAGCCUAAAAGCUUCCCAGGUCGAACCCCAAAUGUGCAUUUAUUAGGAUUAAGUCUCAACCUAAACUUCCUCAAACGAGCGAAUAGUUUCUCCAGGUUGGUGAUGUGCUCUUCUUCUGUAUGGGAUUUGGCAAUCAUGUCAUCGACAUACACCUCAAUCUCUUCAUGAAUCAUGUCGUGAAAGAGAGUUACCAUGGCACGCUGAUAUGUUGCCCCAACGUUCUUUAACCCAAACGACAUUACUUUGUAACAAAAGGUUCCCCAAGGGGUAAUCAACGUGGUCUUCUCCAUGUCUUCGGGAUCCAUUUUAAUUUGGUUGUAUCCUGAGAAACCAUCCAUAAAGGAAAACACGGAGAACUGAGCUGUGUUAUCCACCAAUACAUCAAUGUGAGGUAAUGGAAAAUCGUCUUUGGGACUAGCUCUGUUUAAGUCUCGGUAGUCUACACACAUGCGGACUUUUCCAUCUUUCUUCGGCACCGGUACAAUGUUGGCAACCCAUUAUGGGUAUUUAGCGACUUCCAGGAAACCAGCGUCAAACUGCUUUCUCACCUCUUCUCAUAUCUUGAGAGCCAUAUCUGGUCGAGUUCUUCUUAGCUUUUGUUUGAUAGCAGGGCAUUCUUCUUUAAGGGGAAGCUUGUGGGUCACGAUAUCAGUAUCUAAUCCGGGCAUGUCUUGGUAUGACCAAGCAAACACGUCGUCAUAUUCAUGGAGGAGCUCUAUCAGUCUUGUCUUCACUGUAUCUUGAAGCACUGCGCCUACCCUUACUUCUCUCUUAUCUUCUUCUAUUCCCAGAUUUAUAACUUCAACGUCUUCCUGGUGUGGUUGAAUGACCUUUUCUUUUUGUCUGAGUAAUCUGACCAACUCUUCAGGGAGUUCGCAAUCUUCCCCCACUUCGUCUUCACCUUGGUAGAUUGGAUAAUCAAAGUCAUAUUGGACCAUAGCAGUGUCCUUAUCAACGGUCUCGGUGGUGUUUUUGCAUGUUAUGAUUUAUGCAGUUUAUAUAGAAAGUGCGUGCAUAAAAAUUGAUUGCCAUUUUCGUAAAUAGAUCAAAACGAAGGAAAAUGAACAAAAAUUUGAAUGCAAAACGUCAUUUCAUUAAUGAUAAAAACUCUUGAAAAAGAUAAAGAAGGCCCUACAACAUGCCAUUGUACCUUGGGAAGAGCACAAGGUUUUAUCUAAAAUGAUCAAAUUACUUUUGAAAUAUUUGGGGAACUUCCACAACCUUCCAGUUUGUUAGUUCUUCAUUAGGUGAGGUUUGACGCAUCCAGCUGGACACCCCCUUCUUGCGGUCUUCUUCACUGAUCAUUGCCACCUGCUUGCCAAAGAUGUGGCCAGCGCUGGUGAACGUUUUCUUCACAGAUGGAAUCUUCUCUUUGUCAGGUUGGUUACUGGCUUUGUCUGAUGAUGGGUCGUACCCCAGGCCAAACUUAUCUCGUUUCUCUUUCACUUCCACCACUUUGCCCCAGUCUUGAGCAUCUUCACUUUCCAUAACAACUUUAGCUCCUUGCCACGAGGCCAUGGAUGGUCCUGAUUUCGGGAAUUCCAAGGUCUGUUGGAUGGCCAUCAUGUUUACCACUUCUAAGGAUUGGGAUGGUGUCUCAGUGAUUUCACCAUCCACCUCGAUAUAUCGGAAAGAUGUCAAGUGACUGACCAAGAUAUCUUCUUCUCCUCCAACCACAAUCAUCUUGUCAUUUGUAAUGAAUUUUAGUUUUUGAUGCAGAGUGGAGGUGACAGCACCUGCGGAGUGAAUCCAGGGUCUCCCGAGUAAGCAACUGUAACCAGGAUGUAUAUCCAUGACCUGGAAUGUGAUAUUGGAGAUAGUUGGACCUAUCUUGGUUGGUAAGUCAACCUCUUAUAUCACUGCUCACCUUGAGCCAUCAAAUGCUUUUACGAUUAGGGUGCUGGGCUUCAUACUUAUCCCUUCUACUGGCAGCUUUAUCAAAGUCGUCUUUGGCAUGACGUUCAAUGAGGAACCUGUGUUUACCAACACCCUUGACAGUAUAGUAUCCAUGCAUUUCAAAGAGAUGUGGAGAGCCUUGUUAUGGUUCUUUCCUGCAAUCGGUAGUUCGUCAUCAUUAAAACCUAAGAAAUUUCCAGUAGUCACACAAGCUAUCACGUCAUCAAACUGUUCUAUUGUUAUGUCCUUUGUGAUAUGAGCGGCGCUCAAUACUUUCAACAGCGAAUUCUUGUGCGCUUCUGAGUUGAGCAGUAGAGAUAACAUGGAAAUUUUAGAAGGUGUUUGGUUUAGCUGAUCCACCACCUUAUAAUCACUCUUCUUGAUUAUUCUCAAGAACUCCUCAGCUUCCUCACGAGUGACAGCAACUUCAGAUGACAGGUGCAUGUCUUGCAUCCCCUGAUUAGGGAUGGGGAUCUGGACAGCAGCCUCCUUCCCUUUAGCUCUCUCAGAAGUAUCAGCAGUUCUUGGUGCGAACACCCGGCCACUGCGCGUCAUUCCUGCUGGCCCCAUAAUUGAAGUGACAUUUGGUUCAUUAAUCAUUAAAGGUUUAUCUUACUGCCCCUACUUAAAAGCUCUGGGCUGAUAUAUCCAUGGGACUGCCUUCUCAUCUUUAUAUUCGAAUGGUGUUGGGAACUCUAUCACCAACGGGCUUAUAGGUAUUUCUACUUUAACUUCAUCAUAGGGGAUGUCUACCACCGCUAUCUCUUGCUGAUGCUUGUUCUUGACACGGUAAUUUAUCUGUAACUCGCCUCGAUCCAGCAUUUGUUGUAUAAAACUCCUCAACUCUUCAUUGUUCUCUUCCUCAACCAGCUCUUUCGGGAUCAUACCACUUUUCAGCAAUUGUGCUCCUAUCAUGGUGAUAGGGGUUUGAAUCUCUUCAACCUUACGAAUCAAUUUGCCUUGAUCACUCUCCUCAAUGGCAUUGACGGAAGCAUCCUUAUGCGUCAGCAUAGGGUUGGUGUUCACGUUCGGGCGUCUUGGAGUGAAAGAAACGGCCUUGGCUUCGAUCAAGUCUUGUACCCGAUUCUGAAAUACGAAACAGUUUUCCAAGGUAUGACCAGGUGCUCCCAUGUGAAAUUCGCAAUGGGCAUUAGCGUCGUAUCCAGGUGGAUACGGAAAAACAGUUGAUUUUAACUCCCUCAAUGUUAGAAGUGUAACACCCUUCUAAAAUACCCCAAUAAAUAAUUAAAACAACCAAACAUAAAUCAGAGUAAAUAUGCAAUUAAGGGUGUCACACUUGACACUUCACACCAUUUUCCAAAUAACUGGUCAUACUCAUUUGUUUAUCAAAAUAAAACAUUGCACAAUACGCAGCGGAUAUGCAAACCAUAUAAUCACUUUACAUGUAAAACUGUUCAACAACCACAAUUGAAAACAAGUAAAACAUCCCGUCCCGAUGUUACAUCUACCAGAGCAUGACCCACUAAGGAACUACACUAGACUCCAAGCACUAGCUUCUACUCAAUCACUGCUCGUUACCUGAAACAUAGUGUAAGGGUGAGUUCCUCAAUCGAUAUAAUAAGCAUUAUAAAAUAUCAUGUAAUGCUAAGUAAAUGAACACAUCUCAUCACCCUAAUCAUAUCACACAUUCAGUAACGGCAACAUCAACUCAUACUCAUAAUCAUGCUCAACAUAAACAUCAAAACACACGUAUAAUAUUGGAACACAUCCAUUCAUAUUAUACACAAUACAUACAUUAUGCAAUGAGACUCCAUGCAUGCGGUACCGACUAUUCGUGAACAUAUAGUUCAACCUCACCGAUCAAAUCCAGAUACGGCUACCAAGCUCACUAGUCCCACUCAUUUGAGACCUAGUGACUCACNNNNNNNNNNNNNNNNNNNNNNNNNNNNNNNNNNNNNNNNNNNNNNNNNNNNNNNNNNNNNNNNNNNNNNNNNNNNNNNNNNNNNNNNNNNNNNNNNNNNNNNNNNNNNNNNNNNNNNNNNNNNNNNNNNNNNNNNNNNNNNNNNNNNNNNNNNNNNNNNNNNNNNNNNNNNNNNNNNNNNNNNNNNNNNNNNNNNNNNNNNNNNNNNNNNNNNNNNNNNNNNNNNNNNNNNNNNNNNNNNNNNNNNNNNNNNNNNNNNNNNNNNNNNNNNNNNNNNNNNNNNNNNNNNNNNNNNNNNNNNNNNNNNNNNNNNNNNNNNNNNNNNNNNNNNNNNNNNNNNNNNNNNNNNNNNNNNNNNNNNNNNNNNNNNNNNNCAAUUCAUAACAGUGUUAACCGGUUAACACCCUGGGUUAACCGGUUAACGCAAGACAGAAAGCUGUUCCUGCGCUAACACGAAGCAGAAUGCAGAAUUCUCCGCAUUUUCCGCCGUUGGAGGACUUCCGGACCUCCGAUUCCAAUUCCGUAAAAAGCUACACUUUCGGAAAAUCACAACUCACCCAAAUAUAGAUUCAAUUACAGCUUUAACAUAACUUAUUCAUCACAACUUUUCAGCAUUCAACAUCCCAAUUAGGGUCAAAUCAAUGGCUUAUCACUACCCAUUACAUGUUAACCCAUAAUACCCAUUAAACGACGAUAAACCCCCCUUACCUGAGUUAAUCCGGCAAUCCUUUAGCUUCAAGCUCUUCCUUCUUCAACCCUCUUCUCCUGCUCUUCCUCUUUGCCCUUUUCUCACUUUUCUGUCGCUUUCCCUUUUCACGUGAAAAAAACUUUCUUUACCAAAUGGAACUCUCUUUAUAUAUAUUCCAACUUAUUAUUCCAAUUAUAAUAAUAAUUCCAAUAAUAUUCCAAUAAUAAUCCAAUUAUUUAAUUAAAUUAAUAAAUAUACUAUUAGCUUAAUUUAAAUAAUUAUCAUAUUUUAUCGGGGUGUUACAAGAAGGCCCUCCUUCUGCAGAUAUGGGAAUAUUUGACUAUAAGGUACUGGUAGAGGAUCAAGUUGCCUUCUUGGAGGUCUUGGCUUGAACUGUCUUGGUGGUGCGGUAUUUUGCUGAUGAUGAUGUUGUUGAUGUUGUGGCUGAUACAUUUGUUGUUGCUGUAUUGGCUGUUGAUAGGGUAUGGGUACCACGACGACGACUUGGCCAUAUGAAGCCUGUUGCUUCCCUUUAUAGUUUUUGGAUAUGGCGUUUGUUUCGCCUUCUCUUUUCUUCGGGAAACCUCCAGAAUAUUUCUUUGGUGCGCUAGGUGUUGUCACUACUCUUGGAAUCUUUCCAUCCCUCAACCCCUUCUCUAUGCAGUCUCCAAUUGUGACUAGAUGUGCGAAGUCAGAUGCUGCACUACUCACUAAUCGAUCAAAGAAUGGGUCCUUCAAGGUGUCCACAAAUAUCCCGGUCAUUUCCUUCUCAGACAAUGGUUGCUCUACCUGAGCAGCCAACUCUCUCCAUCGUUGGGCGUAUUAUUUGAAUGACUCACUCUCCUUCAUAGCCAUCCCUUGCAACAGUAUUCAGUCGGGUGCCAUAUCUAAGUUAUAUUUGUACUGACGGAGAAAUGCGUCAACCAAAUCCUCCCAACUUUGAAUCCGCUCCUGUUCUAAGCUCAUGUACCAUCUCAGAGAUGCUCCACUCAGACUGUCUUGGAAACAGUGUACAAGUAGUUUGUCGUUUUCGGUAUGAGCAGCCAUUUUCCUGAAGUACAUUACCAGGUGACUUCUUGGACAAGUCUGUCCUUUGUAUUUCUCGAUAUCAGGAGUUUUAAAUUUAGCCGGGAUGACUAAAUUCGAUACUAAACGCAUGUUCAUGGCAGAAGCACCGAAGAUAUUGUUUCCUUCUAUGGCUUUGAUCUUCUUUUCCAGGGCACGGAGUCUAUCUGCAGCAGGAUCGGGAAGUAUCUUAGGUUUUGGUUGAUCAGGCAUAUAGAAUGCAUCAUACUGAUCAUCUCCAAUUUCGGAUCCAUGAUGAGUAGACGUAUCAGAAGGUUCUGCACGGUCUCCAUCUCCUUUGCCUCCUACCGGUAUCUGAACCAAUCUCUUCUUGGCGGGGACAUAACUUUCGUCUUGGGGAUUCGGACCUGGCGCGCCAUCAUUCCUUUUUGCCCUAGCUUCUUCCUCCUCGCUCCUCUCUCUCUGAGCGAUCGCAAGCAUUGUCUCCAACAGCUGAUCCAUCUUCUCCUGGAUCGUAUUGAUGUCUGUCCUCAUGGUAACCUGGUUGGCCUCCACUUGCUCUAAUGUCAUCUUGUAUUUGCUUCGCGUCUCGUAUCGGUGUUGAUUAGUCAGUGUGGCUGGAUAAAGGGUAAAAAGGUUGGGUAAGUUUUUGAUUUUUAUGAAGUGUGAUGCAUAAUGAAGAUGCGAAUGUUAUGCAUAUUUUAUUUCCAAGGAGUCAUUUGAGUUUCAUUAGUUGUUAGUAAUUCGAAGAAACAAAGAAUACUUAGAAUAGCAAUAAUGGAGUAAUUUUUAAACGUCAUUCAUUCCCAUACAUAACAUAAAGGUCCAAAAAGGUCAUAGUUUAAAAGUACAUUUGUUAAAGAAACAAAAUACAAGACAUAUGUAAAUUAAACAGCCGGCUUUCUGGCCUGAAGCUCUUCUAGUUCCUCAUUGAAUCUCUUCAGCAACCCUUUACAGAGCAGAAUGAAACUGAUUAUGGCUGGUGGAGUGUUAUCUUCUUUCAACUCUUCGACUGCGUCUCUCAACCUCCAUGGUAGUUCUUUAGCCGCCCAAUUACAGAAUCCUACUAGCCCAUCCAGUUUUGCACGAAACUUAUCCCUAUCUCCCUGUAAGAAGUCUCUGGUCUUCUUAAAGGAUUCAUAAUCUUCAAUCACAUAGUCUCGCUCUUUCAACCAUAUGGAGUUGUCUUGGCGUAAUGACUCUAGCUGGUUCUUCCAAUAGCUGACAGAUUCCCUUUUACUUCUCGCCACUUCUUUUCUUCCAUAUCAGAGGUGACACCUAGAAGCUCAGUGACUUAUUCUUGAGUCGGACUCGCUGACUUACUUCAGCUUUGCAUGACGAACAAAAUGGUGAGUUCUUUAUCUGUCCCAAGUGUAUCCCUUAUCAUCUUGUAUAUCCUUGUGGUAGAUGAACGAACGCAACGCUCAUUGUCUUGACAUUCUUUCUGAGCUUGUCGUAGUUGACCCUUAAGAGUAUCCAAACAAUGAUCAGCUUGUUCUAAUCCCACUUUGAUCUUCUUUCUCUUAUGCUCCUCCUUGUUGAACUUUUCCACGUGGGCUUGAAGUUGUGCCUCUUUUCUCUCGAGCUCCCAAUUCAUAUUAUUUUUCUCAUUGAUGGUUUGUUGGAGUUUUAUCUGCAGCUCUUCAUUCUCUUUUUCUAGCUUUGCCAUGGUGGUCUUGAGUUCCUCCAUUUCUUCAAUAGGGACAUGGGUGAGCUUAGGUUCAUGAAGAGGUAUAGGUGUCCGAAUGACAAAAGGCAUUUUAAUUAUCUGCACCCUUUCCUUUACCCACUGAAAAUAUGGUUCUUUUGUAAUCCCAUUUUCUCUCCCUAACUCAGUUUUCCCUUUUCGAUUGAUAUUUUUCCAAGCUUCUUUGAUUCGCUGGAAUAAGCUAGGAUUCUCAGCCCCAAAGUCAAGUAACAAGAACGCUUCCAAAGAAUUUACCUCUGGAGGGCCUUCCAUUGGGUAACCGAGUUGUUUGAGUGAUAGAACUGGAUUAGCAUUUACACAUCCUUGAGUUCCAAUAAGCGGUAGAUUUGGGAACUCUCCACAACUGAAUAUGAUAUCCAUGUUGAUGUAUUCUUUGGAAUACCAAGAGAGAUCUUCAGAUUGGAGUGAUCCCAAUCUUUGAGGCCAACUAAUAUCCGUUUGUUCAACCUAAGCACAUGUCUUCGGAAGAUGUUCUAGGAACCACUGAUACAAUAGAGGAGCGCAACAAGCAAUCAAUCCCUUCUUCUUAGUAUACCUAUGACUUAUGUAAUAAUAGACAUUGGCUAACAAAGUGGGUACUGGGUUCCCAGUAAGGAAAACACAAAUGGCAGUCAUGUCUACGAAACCAUCCAUAUUCGGGAACAGGACGAUGCCAUUGAUGGCCAAUGCAAUAGCAUAGUAAUAAGCAUCCCAACUUUUUGCCUUCAAUAUGGUAUGAGCUCUUUCCAAAAGAAAACUUAGUAAAAAUCCUUUGGUAUUCCCUUGGUCUCUAAGUUAUCUUUUGCUUCCUUUUCAUUCAUGUGAAGCGCACUAGCAAUGACCUCAAGGGGCAAAGAUUCAUCUGUCCCUUCAAAUAGUGACUUGUUCUUCAUAGGAAUCCUAACAAGACGCUCAAAUUCUUCCAACGUUGGUGCUAGCUGGAAGUCUUGGAAUGUGAAGCAUCUUAAAGGUAAGUCAUAAAAAUGGGCUAAAGUGAUCAAGGUUGUAUGGUCCACUUGUUGAUUAAGGAUGCUGAGCAAAUUGCUAUAAUUCUUUCCAAAGUUGAUUCUGUAUACAAGGUGCACCUGAGAGACCAAGUUACGUAAGUUCUUCAAAUCGGGAUCCUUGAACUUGAAGGAGUAAAUGUCUCUUUUGCUUGAUUCCAUGUUUCUUGAAUUCCUGCAACUCAUGAUACUCAGAUUCCAUGGAAAUAAAAUAGUAUGAAUCUUAUGCUAUGAAUGAUAUUAUGCGUGUCACAUGUAGGUUAAUAUACAGGUCAUGAGAGUGGGUAUUCUUGGUUACUAAACAAAACCCUUUUGGUAAAAUGCUAAAGGUAAGAGGUUCCCAAAGUCAUCAAUCAAUAUUUAAGAAAGUUAUUGUCAUGAUGAAAACUCAUCUGCUAAUAACAUCCCUAAACAGAGUCUCGUUUGGGUGAGGCCUUCGUAUGGUCCCAAAGAGGAAAACUCCUAGUGGGUCCAUACUACAUAGCUCCCGAGUCCAGAGUUCUAAUAAGGUUCUCAGAGUCAUAGAUCGAGGUUGAGAAUACCACUGUAAGGUAGUAAUACGCCCAAGGGAUCUCAUCUGAUUGGGGCUUUCGUAUUAACCCAAUAAGUAUGGGACUUUUCAGGUAGAUACUACACAACCACCGGAUAUAAUGGGUUAAAAGGUCCCCAUAGUCAUUGAUCCAACUUGAGAAUACUAUUGUCGUAACGAAAACUCGUUGGGCAAUAAUAUUUCAAGAGAAUCUCCUCUAGGCGGGGUCUUCGUAUCUUCCCAACAAGGAAGACUCCUUGUGGGCGCCCACUACGCAACCACCAACUUAAUCUUAUGGUUUUUCUCAGACUCGGGUAAUAAUAUUUCAAGAGAAUCUCCUCUAGGCGGGGUCUUCGUAUCUUCCCAACAAGGAAGACUCCUUGUGGGCGCCCACUACGCAACCACCAACUUAAUCUUAUGGUUUUUCUCAGACUCGGGUGGAGAUCCUAUCUCAUAAAGUAUCACCAACCAUAGAACCCCAAAUAAGACAUAAUCAAUAAAUGACAAUAUAAUAGUUAUGACAACAUAAUAAUAAUGGAAUAAAUAAUAAACAGAUAAACAAAAUUAACACACAAUACAUCAAUUGAACUAAAUUAGGCUUCACUCUCUUUUGCUUGGAGCUAGUCCCCAACAGAGUCGCCAUCUGUCGCAUCUCGAAAAAUACGAUUCCUCGCGAUGUUCGCGGAAAAAAUAAAUUCGAACAGAGUCGCCACCAAACUUUGUUUAUCCCAAUGAAGGGAUAGGAAAAUAUCGAUAAAACCUUUAGGAAAUGGAAUAAUAGUCGUCGCAACCAUAUUCAGGUUCGGGAGUGGAUUACGUAAGGGGAAGGUAUUAGCACCCCUUACGUCCGUUGUACUCAACGGGAACCUUUUAGUUCUAGUUUGCGUUUUGAGUGUUAAUUUAUGUUUGUUUGUUAUCUUUGGGUUAUGGAUUACGUAAGGGGAAGGUAUUAGCACCCCUUACGUCCGUUGUACUCAACGGGAACCUUUUAGUUCUAGUUUGCGUUUUGAGUGUUAAUUUAUGUUUGUUUGUUAUCUUUGGGUUAUAAAAUAUUAGAAAUUGAAAUGGAUGAGAACCUCAGAAAGGGAAAGGGGAGGUUUUUUAUUAAUGUGCUCGCGAAGAUACAACAAUCUCCUGCCUACGUAUCCUUAAAUAAGGAAAUAAGAGCAUUCGUAGUUCGGGGAACUACGGUUGGUUGGUGUCUUUUACCGAACAGCUGUUUAGAUCGCGUUCUAAAGGCUAAAUAUUGGCUUGUCUACUCUCGGCAGAGGCUUAAGCACUAGUUUGUUGUGCGCAUUAGAAAGGAUUAAAUGGUGUUCUUUGGUCACACUGGGGUGACAAUUUGAUAUGUUGGAUAUUUUGAUUGGUUGAGAUGUUUUUUGGUUGGAUGACGAUUACUCGGAUAGUCGAGUAAGACAACUCGUAUCCUAACAGUCGGGAAAGGGAAUAGAAGACUCUAGACCACUUUCUUUUUCAUCCUAAAUUAUAGGAAAAAUUAAUAAUAGUUAUGUUUUUGAAAGGAUGACGAAUACUCAGAUAGUCGAGUAAGACAACUCGUAUCCUAAUAAUCGGAAAAGGAACAGAAGACUCUAGACCGCUUUCUGUUUCAUCUAAAUAUUUAUGAAAAUAAGGUUGUAUAAGGUCGACGUAUUUUAGCCAGAACGACAAAUACUCGAAUGACUGAGUAAGAUAACUCAUAUCCAAGCAUUUGAGAAGAGGAGUUGAAAGCUCAAAACCAUCUCCCUUUUCGUAUAGUUAAGAAAGCGAUUUGAUUAAGUUGUAUGUUUGUGAAAAAUGACAAUCGUUCGACUGACCGAGUAAGAGAACUCGUAUUCAAACAAUUGGGGAGAGAAGUUGAAAACUCAAAGUUAUCUCUUUUUCCAUUUCAUUAUUAUGAAAGCAUUUUUAUUUAAUCGGGGUUUGGAAGUAUGUAGAGGAACGACAAUUAUUUGACUAACCCAGUAAGAGAACUUGUAUUCAAAUAGUCGUGGAGAAAAAAAUUGAAGACUCAAAGUUAUCUCCCUUUUGGUUUCUUGUUAUAAAAGGAUUUGAUUUGUUUGUGCUUAAAUGGAUUAGAAAUGAUGACCAUUUGACUAACCGAGUAAGAAAACUCGUAUUCAAAUAAUCGAGGAGAGGAGUUGAAAACUCAAAACCAUCCCCCUUUUCAUUUUCAAAUGAAGUGUUGUUUAAAUGUGAUUAAGUAUUUUAAUAAAAACUCGUAUUCAAAUAAUCGAGGAGAGGAGUUGAAAACUCAAAACCAUCCCCCUUUUCAUUUUCAAAUGAAGUGUUGUUUAAAUGUGAUUAAGUAUUUUAAUUUAACUUUCGAUGUCGGAUCGAGAUUUUAAAAUUUUCAUUUUUGUGAAUGAAUUGAAUUUAUUUAGUGAAUAAUCCAUCUAAUCGAUUAAUUAAAACCGAAUAGGUCUCAUUGUAAGAAGGCUCAAGAGUAAGCCAUGUAAGGUUGAUGGCGAUGCCUUUACAAGCGAUCGACUUACAGAGGUGUUUUGAAAAUGGGCUCAACUUUGAAUCGAGAAGUAUGUGAUUUAUUUUGAAAUCGGCUCAGAUUAUUUUAAAAUCGAUGAAAGCGACAUGAUUUUGUCACAAUUAUAACAUGUCAUUUCGUUUACACUCAAGGUUCGAUAUAAACAAAUAGAUAAAGAAUAAUCAUGCACAUACACUCCUCAAGAUAAAUAAACAUCUAAAUUAUGAAGGACAUUUGUGAUUCUAUAAUCAAUUAAUUAAUUGAAUGUCUAAUGAAUUAUUUUAUUUUAAUUAAAUAAUAAGUAAUAAUAAUAAAAAAUGAAUAUAACUAAAUGACUACAUAUUUAUUAAAUAUUAAUAAUGAUAACAAUCAUAUAAUUGUGUAUUUUCUUUUAAAAAUUAAUAAUAAUAAUAGUAAUAAUUACAUAUUUAAUAUAUAUAUAUAUAUAUAUAUAUAUAUAUAUAUAUAUAUAUAUAUAUAAAAUAAUAUUAACAAUAGUAUAAUUAAAAUUUCGAAAUAAGAUAAAUAAACCAAAGCAUUGUUUUAUUUUAAUGACCAAAGAAUCUAGUGUAUAUUUUUUAUGUAUAAAAAAUAAAGUAAAUGAAAUUACUUGAAGAUGCAUGUAAAUGGACCAAGGGAAACAGACCAAGCCCUAAAUGGGCGCUGCUGGAAGUUUUCCAGGAGGGGUGUCAUCAGUAAAAAUCGAAUAUGGGCCUAAAGCAAAAGAAGUCCAGGAAGGGUAUGGUCAACCUUGUUGACCCAGAAGACUCCCUCUCCGAACGGUGACAAAUGUCCAGGGCUGGUGACACUUGCCACCACUACUCCCAUGCUUCCCUUGGUCAGCUUUAAACAAAAAUAGGAAAAAAGAAGUGUCACUUUUCAAAAACCUUUCUCUCUCUUCAAUUUCCCAACCCUUAAAAAUGCUCUGCAACAAAGCUUCCUUCUCUCUGAUCAGUUCACCGGAGAAGAAGGCGGAGGGCGGCAUCCCGCGGCGGAGCCGCUGUCACUUUCCGGUAACCCUUCUAUACAAAACCCUAUCCUACCUAAAAUGAACCUUCUGAGUUCGAAUCUGGGCUCAGAUUUUCCAACAAAAGGCUCCACUCGUCCUGAUCUGAGGUUUCAACCGAAACCCUAAAACUACGAACCAACAACGACAAAGGUUUUAAGCAAAGAAGAAACGUAGAUUGGCGUACAACAGUGAUGUGAAAGGAAGAAGAAUACGAGAAAAGGAAAUACUACCUUGGAGUUACUCCGGUGGCCGCAAACACUGCGAAUCCAGGUAGAUAGCGAUCUCUUCUUCAAUAUCCUUCUCCUUCUCCUCCUUCUGUUUUCGUUUUGUUGUGAUGAUUGUGUGGACUGUAAAAGCUAUUUUUUCUUUCCCUUUUUUACGAUCUGUUGGUUUUUGAAUACUAUGUGUUUGGGUGUUCUUAACAAAAUUAUUUUUGGAUUAAUCUCUGGGAUUUCAAGAAUGUCUUCUCUGUUUAGUUUUUUAGGUUCGAAAUAAAUCUUUUUUUCUCUCGUCCCCUCCCUUUUGCUGUUAACUUAUGAUGCUUUUUAAUGAUGAAUUUUCUAAGUCUUGAAAGACUCUUUUCCGUUAUGCCUUUUUUUUCCAGAUUAUGUGGGAUCCAUUUUUGUAGAUUUGUUACUGUUUUAAACCAUUUUUGAAAUGCUUUUUGGAUGUUCAAGUUAGUCUUCUGGAUAAAGUAUUGAACUGAAUAAUUUAUUAGUUAUUCUUCAGUCCUUUAAGCGCUUCUAGAAAGGGCUUUUUCACUUAAGCCGUUUUUCUCUCUGCAAGUUACAGCGUGAAGUGACUUGUUUGAAUGGAAGGUUGGCUGCGUAAAGCUUCAGGAAAGUAGGUUCUGAGGCGUGCCAAUUCCAAAAAGGGGGGUUCAACCUGGUCAACUGGUUUUGAUCUUUAGAAUUUCGUUUCCACCAGCAUCAACUUUCUAUUCAAUUAAAAUGUAAUUACUUAGGUUUUUAGGACAAAUGUGUAUUUUGGACUGUUUGUAACCUAUUGGAUUAAAAUCUGCUUAUGUAAUUACCUUUUAAGCAUUCAAACCUUAUCUCAAUAUUUUAAUUAUGCUAAUCAAUUAAAGCAUUUUGAACUUUGUCCUUCUA
rnacentral:lncRNA from 1 species